UCUCAGUGAGAUCUUUUGGUGCCAGGAGAUCUUGGGGAUCCUGGUCUUCUACCUCCCUGAGAUCUCUAUAUCUCAGUGAGGUCUUCUAUCUCUCUGAGAUCUCUAUAUCUCAGUGAGGUCUUCUAUCUCUCUGAGAUCUCUAUAUCUCAGUGAGAUCUUUUGGUACCAGGAGAUCUUGGGGAUCCUGGUCUUCUACCUCCCUGAGAUCUCUACAUCUCAGUGAGGUCUUCUAUCUCUCUGAGAUCUCUAUAUCUCAGUGAGAUCUUCUACCUUUCUGAGAUCUUUAUAUCUCAGAAAGGUCUUCUGAGCUUUGUUCUUUGGUUUCUGCAGAGAAUCAUUAAUAAUAAAGAUAAUCUCGUUUUGGAAUGAAUGAUGUUAUUUUAUCCAUUCAUGUUUUUCAAAGUACAAUGCUUUUCUUUACAAAUAUUUCA
rnacentral:lncRNA from 1 species